GGGGUCGCUUUUGGCUUCGACGGAAAUAUGAGUGUUUAAUUAGCAAGACGUAUUUCUCUACGUUAGUGGGAUAAAUUAAAUAUAACUGGAAACAGCUAUAAAAACGCUGUUGCUUAUGCCUAACCUAUAGGUAGCAACAGGUUCUUCUAAUUCUUUGUCUGUGAGGAUUAGCAAGGACUUAUAAAGCAGACUAUAUUGUAAUGUUUGUUUAGGCAUUAUGAUGAAUAACUAUAAACUAGCGAGUAAUUAUGAUUGUGGAUUGUCUAUUUACUUUGCGAAUUUGAUAAUCCAAUAAUCUUGUAGAAGGUUAAAUGACUUUGUUUUCGGACAGGGGUUCGAAUCCCCUCGGCUCCACCA
rnacentral:tmRNA from 1 species